rnacentral:rRNA from 1 species
AUUGAACGCUGGCGGCAUGCUUUACACAUGCAAGUCGAACGGUAACAGGCCGCAAGGUGCUGACGAGUGGCGAACGGGUGAGUAAUGCAUCGGAACGUGCCCAGUCGUGGGGGAUAACGCAGCGAAAGCUGUGCUAAUACCGCAUACGAUCUAUGGAUGAAAGCGGGGGACCGUAAGGCCUCGCGCGAUUGGAGCGGCCGAUGGCAGAUUAGGUAGUUAGUGGGGUAAAGGCUCACCAAGCCAACGAUCUGUAGCUGGUCUGAGAGGACGACCAGCCAAACUGGGACUGAGACACGGCCCAGACUCCUACGGGAGGCAGCAGUGGGGAAUUUUGGACAAUGGGCGCAAGCCUGAUCCAGCAAUGCCGCGUGCAGGAAGAAGGCCUUCGGGUUGUAAACUGCUUUUGUACGGAACGAAAAGGUCUGGGUUAAUACCCUGGGCUGAUGACGGUACCGUAAGAAUAAGCACCGGCUAACUACGUGCCAGCCGCCGCAGUAACAC